rnacentral:rRNA from 1 species
AUGAUCUCCAUGCGAUGCACCGGCGAGGCGACAGAGGUGCUCGUGGUGGACGCCUCCGCCGUCUUCCACCGACACGCAGCCGCGCCCUCCAACGCCGCUCUUCCACACGACGACAGACCUGUGUGCCGCUCGGCUGGGACAGAACCCCGCGCUCGACGAUGCCAUGGACAUGGAGGUCUUCAAGGGGAAGCUGAUACCCACACGGCCAGCUCGUGCUCACUGUGUUUGACCGCCAGCUUGUGCUCUACCGCGACGAGUACCGAUGCCCACACAGGUCUUUAUGAAGCUUUGGAACUGAGGGACGGUGGAUCUAACUACUUGGGAAAGGGUGUUUCCAAGGUCUGGCAGCACCGCCGCGUCGACAACGAAGGUGGUGAUCGCAGCGGCGAGCGGCGCGAGUUGGUGGCUGCGGGACUCGACAACACGUCUCAUAUAUGUGCUUUCGACUAA